UACGUAGGGUGCAAGCGUUGUCCGGAAUUAUUGGGCGUAAAGAGCUCGUAGGCGGUGUGUCGCGUCGGCCGUGAAAACCUGCAGCUUAACUGUGGGCUUGCGGUCGAUACGGGCAUCACUGGAGUUCGGCAGGGGAGACUGGAAUUCCUGGUGUAGCGGUGAAAUGCGCAGAUAUCUGGAGGAACACCGGUGGCGAAGGCGGCAUCCUGGACCAAUUCUGACGCUGAGGAGCGAAAGCCAGGGGAGCAAACGGG
rnacentral:rRNA from 1 species